rnacentral:rRNA from 1 species
GACGAACGCUGGCGGCGUGCCUAAUACAUGCAAGUUGAGCGAUGAAGAUUGGUGCUUGCACCAAUUUGAAGAGCAGCGAACGGGUGAGUAACGCGUGGGGAAUCUGCCUUUGAGCGGGGGACAACAUUUGGAAACGAAUGCUAAUACCGCAUAACAACUUUAAACAUAAGUUUUAAGUUUGAAAGAUGCAAUUGCAUCACUCAAAGAUGAUCCCGCGUUGUAUUAGCUAGUUGGUGAGGUAAAGGCUCACCAAGGCGAUGAUACAUAGCCGACCUGAGAGGGUGAUCGGCCACAUUGGGACUGAGACACGGCCAAAACUCCUACGGGAGGCAGCAGUAGGGAAUCUUAGGCAAUGGACGAAAGUCUGACCGAGCAACGCCGCGUGAGGGAAGAAGGGUGUCGGAUCGGAAAACUCUGUUGGUAGAGAAGAACGUUGGUGAGAGUGGAAAGCUCAUCAAGUGACGGUAACUACACAGAAAGGGACGGCUAACUACGUG